ACAGGCCGAAGUGAGGAAAGUCCGGGCUCCACCGGAAAAAAUGCCGGACAACAACCGGGCGUCCUUUUUAGGGCGACAGAAAGUGCAACAGAAAAUACACAGCCAGAAAUGGUGAUGGUGAAAAGGCGAGGUAAGAGCUCACCGCGGAAUUGGCAACAAUUUCGGCAUUGCAAACCUCAUUUGGAGCAAAGUCAAGUAGCGGCAAUCUUUUUCCGGAGAAUUUGCUGCGGGUAGGCUGCUAAAGGCAUCGGGCGACCGGUGUCUCGGAUAGAUGGUUAUUCGACACAGAACCCGGCUUAUUAUCUUUUC
rnacentral:RNase_P_RNA from 1 species